rnacentral:rRNA from 1 species
AUGGAAGUCCGGCUGUCUCAGCAGCCAGAUCAGCUGCAUUGGAAACUUACUAAGAACGGUGUGUUCUCGGUCAAAUCAAUGUAUCUGGAUGUCAUUAACUCUAGCGUCAUCCCUACCUUGUUACAUGUUUGGAAAGUUAAGGUACCCUUAUGUAUCAAAGUGUUUAUGUGGUUUGUGCAUAAACAAGUCAUUUUGGCUAAGGAUAACCUUACAAAACGAAAUUGGGUGGGCUCGUCUAGAUGUAGCUUUUGUGAUCAUAACGAAAGCAUCCAACACCUCUUUCUCGAUUGUCCGUUGGCUAAAAUUCUUUGGCUGUCGGUUCUUAUUGCGUUUAAUAUUAAUCAGCCCACCUCUAUCAGCAUGUUAUUUGGAACAUGGCUUGAUGGGGUGGAUUCUGACACUGCAAGACACAUUCGGGUUGGCGUUUGUGCUUUAUUGUGGGUAGUAUGGAACUGCAGAAAUGAUUUAGUCUUUAACAGAUCAAGAACCAUUCACUUUUUGCAGGUUAUCUUCAGGGCCACGGCGUUCAUCCGUAUGUCGUCGCUACUCACUCCGACGGAGGCCAGGGGCUGCGUCUACCCGAUGGGAGAUGGUAGCUCGGGAUAUUUUCAACCGGUUUUUAUGGCGGUCAUGUAA